rnacentral:rRNA from 1 species
AUAACAUAAAACCGCGUAUGGCUCAUUAAAAUAGCUAUAAUAUAUUUGACUUUGAUGUUUAUCUUAAAUGGAUAACUGUGGUAAUUCUGGAGCUAAUACAUGCCCUAAAAUUAAAACUUUAUAGUUUUAAUGUAUAUAUUAGUUUAAAACCAAGCAUAACUUUUUGUUAUGUUUUUUAUUGAUUCAGAAUAUCCUUACUAAUCGUAUGGUCUUGUACCGACGAUAUGUUAUUUAAAUAUCUAAUCUAUCAACUUUCUAUAUAAGUAUAUAGUACUUAUAUGGUUUUGACGGAUAACGGAGUAUUAGGGUACGACUCCGGAGAAAAUGCCUGAGAAAUGGCGUUUACAUCCAAGGAUGGCAGCAGGCGCGAAAAUUACCCAAUCUCAGUAUGAGGAGGUAGUGACGAGAAAUGACAAGAUUUAAUCCUACGGGAUUGAAUCAUUGGAAUGGUUUAAUUAUAAAAUCAUUAAAGAGUAUCAAUGAGAGGGCAAGUCUGGUGCCAGCAGCCGCGGUAAUUCCAGCUCUCAUACUGCAUUGAAUUGUUGUUGCGGUUAAAAAGCUCGUAGUUGGAUCUGUACACGAUAGGAUAGUUCACUCUUUGAGUUGUAAUUAUUACUACGUGUUUUUUAUAAGAUUUUAUAUUAUUUAUUUUAUAAUAAAUAAUAUAUAUCUUAUAAGUUUACUUUGAAUAAAUCAAAGUGUUUAAAACAGGCGUAAGCUUGUAUGGUUUUGCAUGGAAUAAUAGAAUAUGAUUAUGGUUCAUGUUUUAUUGGUUUUAAUUACCAUAAUAAUGAUUAAAAGGAACAAACGGGGGCAUACGUAUCGUAAGGCGAGAGGUGAAAUUCGUGGACCCUUGCGAGACGAACUACAGCGAAAGCAUUUGCCAAGAAUGUUUUCAUUAAUCAAGAACGAAAGUCAGAGGAUCGAAGGCGAUUAGAUACCGCCCUAGUUCUGACCGUAAACUAUGCCAUCUAGCGAGUUUCGGGUGGAUAUUUUAUAUUUGCCCUUGAAACGAGCUUUCCGGAAACGAAAGUUUUUCGGUUCCGGGGGAAGUAUGGUUGCAAAGUUGAAACUUAAAGGAAUUGACGGAAGGUCACCACCAGAAGUGAGCCUGCGGCUUAAUUUGACUCAACACGGGAAAACUUACCUGGUCUAGACACUAUAAGGAUUGACAGACUGAUAGAUUUUUCAUAAUUUGGUGGAUGGUGGUGCAUGGCCGUUCUUAGUUCGUGGACUGAUUUGUCUGGUUAAUUCCGAUAACGAACGAGACUGAAACUUAAUUAAAUAGAUUAAUUAUUUAAUUAUUAUAAUUAAUUAAUACUUCUUAAUGGGAUUUGCAGCGUUUAGUUGUAAGAAACUCAGCAAUAACAGGUCUGUUAUGCCCUAAGAUGUUCAGGGCUGCACGCGCGCUACAAUGAAAAUUGCAGCGCGUAUGACCAUAACCGAAAGGUUUUGGUAAACGAGUUAAAUUAUUCCGUAUUUGGAAUUGAAUAUUGUAAUUAUUAUUCAUGAACGAGGAACUUCAAGUAAGUGUAAGUCAUUAGCUUACGCUGAUUACGUCCCUGUCCUUUGUACACACCGCCCGUCGCUGCCCGGAACUGGGUUUAUUCGAGAAGAUUGAGGAUUGUUAUUAYSUUUAUAUUUUGGUAUAUUAUUAAUGAUAAAAAUCAAUUUGAUCGCAUUGGCUGAACCGGCAAAAA